AAUAAGUGCAGUUUUGCACUAUUCACGUUCAACGUUUGACCGUCCGUCUUAUUUGAAAAAUUUAUGAAAAAAUUAAAAAUAUUUAGUCACAUAUAAAGUACUAUUCAUGUUUUAUCAUCUAAUAGCAAUAAAAAUACUAAUCAUAAAAAAUUUUCAAAUAAGACGGACGGUCAAACGUUGAACAUGAAUAGUGCAAAACUGCACUUAUU
rnacentral:pre_miRNA from 1 species